AGUGAACGCUGGCGGUAGGCCUAACACAUGCAAGUCGAACGGCAGCACAGUAAGAGCUUGCUCUUACGGGUGGCGAGUGGCGGACGGGUGAGGAAUACAUCGGAAUCUACUUUUUCGUGGGGGAUAACGUAGGGAAACUUACUCUAAUACCGCAUACGACCUACGGGUGAAAGCAGGGGAUCUUCGGACCUUGCGCGAUUGAAUGAGCCGAUGUCGGAUUAGCUAGUUGGCGGGGUAAAGGCCCACCAAGGCGACGAUCCGUAGCUGGUCUGAGAGGAUGAUCAGCCACACUGGAACUGAGACACGGUCCAGACUCCUACGGGAGGCAGCAGUGGGGAAUAGUGGACAAUGGGCGCAAGCCUGAUCCAGCCAUACCGCGUGGGUGAAGAAGGCCUUCGGGUUGUAAAGCCCUUUUGUUGGGAAAGAAAAGCAGCAGGUUAAUACCCCGCUGUUCUGACGGUACCCAAAGAAUAAGCACCGGCUAACUUCGUG
rnacentral:rRNA from 1 species